GCAUUGGUGGUUCAGUGGUAGAAUUCUCGCCUCCCACGCGGGAUACCCGGGUUAGAUUCCCGGCCAAUGCA
rnacentral:tRNA from 1 species